rnacentral:lncRNA from 1 species
AAUGAAUGCUUAUUUAUUCACAGUUUUGAAAUUGGAUCAUGCAAUAUCUCAUAGCUUCAAGGUUUCGAUGAUGUGGUGGUUUAUUUAUAGAAUGGCAUUGUAGGGCGUGUAUGAGAGGCCAAAUCUGGCUGGUUCGAACGUAAAACGCUUUAAAAUAUUUGGGUCAGUUACGGCUGGUUUAAAUGCUAAGGAGUUUCAAAGGAGCAGAAACUUUUCCCCCAGAAGAGUUGAUGUUAUAUGAGAGUAACAUCCCAAGACAUCAUUCCAAGACACGGCUAACUUACACAAACGGACUAGCAGUAUGGUUAGGAGACUGGAACCCAUAUGUAAAUAUUGACCCUGUGUUACUUUCAACGUUCUGUUUUAUAUGUGGCUGUCCCGAUGGAAUUAAUUUCACUCUCCUCCCCGGGGCUACAUUGACCCCAAACUGUUCUAUAAUUAUAUAAUAUGCAUACAUGUAAUAUCUGGGUGUAUAUAUAAUAUAUUGGGUUACUUAGUGAUUUCCAUGAUAAGCCUGCGUAUCUGUACAUGUCUGUGCAUAUGUAAUUCCUCAUGGAGAUGUGCAGGUGCAUAGAUAUGUAUGUACAUAUCUGUAGAAGUGUGUGCAUAUAUAUGUAUGAACAUAUACAUGUGUAUGUUUAUAUAUGGAUAUUUAUGCAUUAAUAGAUGUGUGUGUGUAUAUAUAUGUAUUGAUAGAAAUAUCUGAAGAUAUACAUGAAAAGAUGUAUGUAAAUAUGUAUAAUGAUGUAUGUGGGUGUAUAUACACAUACAUCCAAAAAUAUGUAUACAUGUAUAAUAAUUUAUAAGUAUACAUGUGUGUAUAUAAAUGUCUGGAUAUAUAUGUGAACCUUUUUCAGUUACUAUCUACCAAGGCAAGGUUUCCAUUGGCCUAGGAUUAUAGUAGAUAUUUGCCCAAGGUGCCACAUGUAGGGACUGAACCUAAAGACAUGGUUGAGAGGCAAACUUAACAUCUACACCUGUGCGUAUAUAUAUAUAUAUAUACACACACACACACACAAUCUUGUUUCAGUUAAAUUGUAGUCAUGUUGGGGGAUCCCCCCCCCCCUGAAGAAUUUUUAGUCUAAUGAAUUGACCCCAGCACAAUCGUCCACACACGUGCACACACACACAACAAGCUUCUUUCAGUUUCUGUCUACCAAAUCCACUCACAUGACUUUGGCCUGAGGCUAUAGAAGAAGACACUUGCCUAAGGUGUCACAUAGACUGAAGCUGGAACCAUGUGGGUGGAAGGGUUUCCACCAAACCUGAAGGCUAUGUUGCACUCCAGUGCCGGCUUUGGCAAAGUUUUUUUUCCUGUUGGGAAUCAAUCACUUUACAGAGUGUACUGUGUAAUUUUCUUUUUGGUUGUAUUUGCACUUUAUGAGGUUACCAAGUAACUUAAAAGACAGGGGAAGUGACCAUGUGACGGGUGGAUUGAUUAGUAGGACAGGAACAGGUGUCUUUGCUAUGUGGAAGAUACGUGGCAGCCUCAGAAAAAGAAAAGAUGGUCAGGAAGAGGCUGAGCCAUUACAAAGAAGAAAACUAAUAAGCUGUAAAUGAUGUGCAACAACAAAUCAGUCGGCAAUUGUGCUUGUCGGUGGUGCCCCAUACAGUCUAGCACCCCCAGAUCUCAACCUGUUGGGUCCAAUGGAAAAACAGCCUGCCAUUGUGAAAGAUUUAUAAGUGCAAGUAGCAGCAAAGGAAUGGGUACAACAAUACAUGCCUGAAUAUCUGAAUAUUUUCAAAGAGAAUGUGAGAGUUGAGUUCAACAAAGUAGCAAAUAUAUCAUUUGCUAUGGAGAUUAUGCUGAGUGUGUAGAAGAAACAUUCUAUCAACGUGUGGAAUUUCAAUAUCUAAUGUCAGUUGGUAAUAAAAAAAGGUUAUGGCCACCUUAGCAUUACUGAAACAAGUAAAGGAUAUAUAUAUAUAUAUUUCCUCAAUACAAAGGCUGCUUGUUUCUCUGGGAUUGGUCUAAUUGAUGUAGACACCUGGUGAAACCCAAUAAGGUUUACAAAUUAAGGCUGUUCAUAUUUUGAAUCUAUGAUGAAAUAGCUGAAUUUGCCAUAUAUAUAUAUAUAUAUAUAUAUAGUUAAUCCAAACACGAGCAAAGAGAAAACAAUGCGAGGACGUGGAACAAGUAUAGUGUUAUUGGACGCUCAGUAAAGGGAAGAUGGAGAAAGAAAAUCGCCAAUGAUACACAUGUGGUCACAUAUAUAUUACCAUGACCAACCAGGCUAUCAGAUGUUGCUAAACAUCGCUGGUCACAAUGCGCUUUGCAUUGUUUUAGCCUUCAAAUGACGCCACCCCGCUGGCUAAGCGAGCAGGCCAACAGAAGAAAGUUGUGGCAAAAGAGUACAGCAGGGAUUGCCCACCCCCUGCCUGAGCCUCGUGGAGAUUUAGGUGUAGAAAGUUAGUCAGCUUCAAGCAGUCUGUAGAAGGUAUAAAAAACAACCUUCAGGAACAAUAAUUUAUUGGCGUAAAAGGUUGUAGGUUUUUCUCAUAUUGAAGUUUGAUAAGCUGAAAAAAGUUUUUUUAUAGUUCACAGUUAGCAACUAGGGUUGCUAUGAAUGCGAAUAAAAGUCCAAAUUGAGGGAGUGGAGCAGUUAAAAUACAGGUUACAUUUGUUCUCUAGCAGAACCUCGGAAGUAAUAAUUACUCAACAAGGGGUACUCCAUUACUCAUCAGGCCAAAGAUACCCUAGUUAAAUGAGGGUUGCAUUGUCAUCAAGGGAUCCUAACUCCGGCAAGUUAACUUAGGGUCCCUUAACAACAAUGUAACCUUCAUUUAACUAGGAUCUCUUCAGCUUGAUGAGUUACAUAUUGUAAUUAUUACUUGUGAAGUUCUGCUGGCUGGGAAACAUGUAACCUGGAUUCUACCUGCUCAUUUUGGGGACACACACACAUAUAUGGCGUUAGGAAGGGCAUCCAGCUGUAGAAACACUGCCAGAUCAGACUGGGCCUGGUGCAGCCUCCUGGCUUCCCAGACCCCAGUUGAACCGACCAACCCAUGCUAGCAUGGAAAACGGACGUUAAACGAUGAUGAUGAUGAUACAGACGUGUAUGUAUGUGUAUAUACAUUUACACAUGAUGGCUGCAAUGCAAUUUCAAGCAAUGUCAUUGCUUGAUUGUUUUCCUAAACAUGAGCAGCUUGGAUGUAGUUUUUUAGUCCUGCUAGGGACUUACAUUCUUUUGCACAGAUUUAACAAUGAUGGGUGCUUCUUGCAAAUAGAUGUCCAGAGGCUUUGCAACACACACUGACACAUGCUUUCAUUUUAUCAUAGAACUAGCAGUAUCGCCCGGCGUUGCUCGGGUUUGUUUCGGCCCUUUAGAUUUGGAAUUUUUGAAAAGUAAAAAUUUUGCAUUAUGUAACUUGUUAUUCUCUUUAAGUGAACAUUUUUCUGGUUGAAAUACACCAAAAAAUGGCGACACAGCAAUAAAAAAAAUCACAAAAAAUUGGGAUUUUCAUAGAAAAAAAGCACCUUUUCGAUGUAAAUAAUUUUUGGUUUUAGCAUGGUCCGAUUUGAAUUUUUUCUUCUAUGGAAGGAAGAGCAAGCCUUCUAUCAUACUCUCAAUUUUGGUCAACUUGCGCCGCAGGGUCUCGGAGGAGAUAGUGUUAGUUGAAGGCUACCAAACCUGCCACAUACAGACAACUUCAGCUUUAUAUAUCGAGAGAUUUCUUAUUGAGUGUUUUACCUUUCUCAGCUAUGACCAGACUAGAAUACAACACAUAUUGAUGUUAAAAUCAAGUGAUAGCUAUGCAAGAAGCUUUUUUAGGAGAGGAAAAGCUUUGCCUUGCUCUCCAUCAGUUAUGACAAGACGGUUCCAGUUGAUUUCAUCACCAGAAGGGUCAGCUCAUGAAAUUAAUGUGCAAGUGGCUUAGCACUCCACAGAAAUGCAUACUGUUAAUGUAUUGGGUUGUCCCGAAAGUUUGUGCCGAUUUUUAAAGGAAAGAAAAAGGUCAAUAAAUACUUGCCAUUACAUUUUUAAUCAACCAAAUCCGAACCAUUUUGUUGCACAAUGCAUCUCCAUCUUUCCUUUAACUUGAAAAAAACCCUCUUCCCAGAAUUGAUGUGGUUUCAUGGCAAAGAAUUCAUCAAGGUAUCUUUUUACGUCAUCCAAGGAAUUGAAAUUUUUACCAUUAAGACUAUUCUGCAGAGUCCUGAAUAAGUGGAAAUCCAAAGGAGCAAUAUCUGGUGAAUAUGGAGGGUAGGGUAACACAUCCCAGCCGAGCUGCAGCAAUUUUUGUCUGGUUCCAAAAGCAUCAAGUGCCGAAAAUGAACUUUCUUAUCUUCCAUUUUAAAGGGUUACAGGAACAUAAACCUUCUUCCAUGAAAAGAUAGCUUAAACUGUGCUCUAAAUGGAGGUGUAGUAAAAUCCUAUUUUAUGGACUCAACCAUUUUCUAAAAUAAGUCGAAAGGUAAGCUACUACAAAUCGGCACGAACUUUCCGGACAACCCAAUAGUUCUCAGGGAGAUUUAGCAUGAUAUAGAAUGUGAGAAGGCUGGCCUUUUCAAUUAGAGGUACAACUCAUUUUUAUCAUCUGAGUGGACUGGGGUAAGGAGAAAUAAAGUGUCUUGUUACCAAGAACCGAACUCGUGAUUGGUAGCCGAAUACUCGGGUCAUAAAGUGACGCACCUUGACAAGGGCCAGUCUCACUCCCUAAACAAUAUAUGACUUUGGAAAAUUACUAUUUUUAAAUCUCACAACGUGACAUAUUCAGCGACAGUACUUUGUCUCAUCAUCAUCGUUUACGUCCGCUUUCCAUGCUAGCAUGGGUUGGAUGAAUGACUGUGGGCUAGCGAACCAGGCUUCAAUCUUGAUCUGGCAGAGUUUCUACAGCUGGAUGCCUUUCCUAACGCUGACCACUCCGAGAGUGUAGUGGGUGCUUUUACGUGCCACCGGCAUGAGGCCAGUCAGGCGGUACUGGCAACGACCUUGCUCGAAUCUUUUACACAUGCCACCAGCACAGGUGCCAGGGCUAAAUUACAGCAACAUUCAUCC